GCCAGACUCCUACGGGAGGCAGCAGUGGGGGAUAUUGCACAAUGGGGGAAACCCUGAUGCAGCGACGCCGCGUGAGUGAAGAAGUAUUUCGGUAUGUAAAGCUCUAUCAACAGGGAAGAAAAUGACGGUACCUGAUUAAGAAGCCCCGGCUAACUACGUGCCAGCAGCCGCGGUAAUACGUAGGGGGCAAGCGUUAUCCGGAUUUACUGGGUGUAAAGGGAGCGUAGACGGUUGCGCAAGUCUGGAGUGAAAGGCGGGGGCCCAACCCCCGGACUGCUCUGGAAACUGUGUAACUGGAGUGCAGGAGAGGUAAGUGGAAUUCCUAGUGUAGCGGUGAAAUGCGUAGAUAUUAGGAGGAACACCAGUGGCGAAGGCGGCUUACUGGACUGUAACUGACGUUGAGGCUCGAAAGCGUGGGGAGCAAACAGGAUUAGAUACCCGAGUAAA
rnacentral:rRNA from 1 species